UUUUGUGAUCUGGGCCCUGCCUUACUCUCAUGCGUUUACUGUUGCUUUGUCCCACACUUCAAAUUUGACAUGGGCCACAUAUUUAGCUGUUUGUGGAAGAUACCAUGACACUUCAUUUCUCCAGGCCUUUGUUCUCCUCCUGCCAGGAUGCCCUUUCCCACCCAAUUUACUAGACAAACAUUCAUUUCCAAGAUGCAGUUCAAGGAUCAUUUCUCUGAAGCCUUUUCUGACUUUACGAGGUAGCACAGACCUCAUUGUCCCUUUUGUGUUAUAAUAAUUCCACUAUAGCACCUGUUUCAACAGUUUGCACUUACUUGUUUCUAUGGGUGUCUCCCUUUACUAGACCAUAAACUUCUUGAAAGCAAGAGCCAUACCUCUACUCAUUUUUGCAUUCAAACUUCAAGCAUUGAUAGGAAGAAAAUGAGUGGUUGUUGAAAAUAGCAAAAGCACAGAGAUGAGAAAAGUUAGGGUCAAUCAAGACAUGUAUAGUGAGAAAAUCAGUUUGCUGGGUGGCAAGCUCAUUUAAUAGAGAAUGGGAGCCAUAAUUGGAAAGAUAGUUUUGAAUCAGAUUACAAAGAAUUUAAGGCAAACCUAGGAAGUCUUAAUAGGAGGGUAGGAUAAGCAGAGCCCAUUUGAAGAUUUUGGUGCAAGAAGACACGAUGGAAUUGUAGCAGGAAAUAUGGUACCAAAUAUGUAAAGCCAUUAAAUAUCAUAAAAUUUCCCACCCUUUUCCAGAUCAAAGAAAAGGUGAUAAGAGGUAGAUACAAAAAUGAUGGUCUUUUUAUUUUUCUGAAAGAUUUUGUCACCUCUUAGCCAAGACGAUUUUGUGAUAUUACAAAAGAAAUAGCACAUUAAAACUGUAUGUUUCUUAUGAGUUCAGCUUCAGAGAAAAUAUUGUAGGUAUUUUCACACUAUUAUUUUAAAGACAGCAAUGAAAAGAGAUCAAGUUUAGGUACUUACUCAUCAAGUGUUACUUUAUAACCACAUGUGUUUGUUUUAAUUCUUCAAGAAACUCUACUUUGUCACUGAAUGAGGAUCAACUAGAGGUGACUGGUUAGGCCUGGGACGAAGGUCAAACUGAGCUUUGCUGAAUUAUUUUAAACAAAAUAGAUUUCCAAACUCAUUUAAAUCCAGGACCAACCUGGAAAGCUAAGCUUGACUCACAUUCUUCUGUAGGGGUAGGAAAGAAUGCAGAGCACUCUACUUGGAAACAAUGGCUUCAAGAGGCAUUGCCCAGAAAAAACCAUAAAUAUGACUAGAAGGUCCAGAUGAAGAUUCUAUGCUCAACCAUUUUUCUAAAGAAGAGCAAGGACAAAACUCACGCCUGGGAUAGCAUGUGAAAAACAGAUGUUCGAUGAAUACCAUCUUGUCGACUUCUUGCUUUUUUACAUUUUCAUGUUAUAUUUUCCCUUUAUCGGUUUGCAGUCAGCUCUAAGCAAACAGUUAAUGAAUUUUUCACACUUAGAAACAAAUGUCUCCAUUGUGACAAUGGAGACAAUUUUUGAGCACUGUCUCAAAUCUGGUGAUAAUUUUUUUUUAAGUGAAAGGAAGUUUAUUAGGAAAGUAAAGGAACAAAGAAUGACUACUCCAUAGGCAGAACAGCCUGGUGACAACUUUUAAAAAGUAAAAACUUUAUUACAAAAACAUUUGUUUAUUGUAGAAAAGCUUUAUUAAAUAAAGCUAAGCAAAAAUAAGGAGGGAAAGAUCACAAUCAGUAUACAUCUUGCAGACCUUUAAAGAAUUAUUUUUGAAAAAACGGAUAUAUACUGUUUUGUAACUAUGUCUCCUAACAAAUAGUCGCAACAUCUCAUUAAUAAAUAUUCACC
rnacentral:lncRNA from 1 species